GGAUAGUCAAGCAGACGCUAUGUGUUUCACUAUCACAGACAAAGCUGCAAUGAACAGCUGGUCCCUGGGCAUUUGCCCAAGACUCACUCAGAAUGGAGGUGACCUCGAGGGUGGAGUCCUAGGCUCAGCUGUCCAGGCGGCUCCCAUCCGGCGGGGCAGACCUCACAGCACCCGCUGUCACCAUCACCGUGCAGGACAGAGAGCCCUAAUGUGGCUGCACUUGGGGGAAAUGCUUCUGUGAUGUGACCCGUGAUGCCUCUUCCGUGCACAGCAAUUGUCUAGAGUGCCUCCCCCGGCACCACUGAGCUUCGAGGGGACAGGAAGAAGCCGCUUUCUGCCCUUUCCUAAGGAGGGGCGAUCAGGACCUGCAGAAACCAUCAAGGUUUCCAUUGUUCCCCCUUCCACAAAAAAAUCGCUGCUUCUAAGACCCUCCUGUGAACAAAAUUUUGGAGCCACAGAUGCUCCUCAUGAUACAAAAUAAACAUUUUCCAAA
rnacentral:lncRNA from 1 species